UUAAACAAAUUCAUAGAAUUCAUACUAAAAAAAUGCAAGAUAUAAUUCAAAAAUAUUUUACAUUAUUAAUCAAACAACAUUAUAGUAGUGCAUUUUUUUUUACAGCAAAAAUUAACAAAAUGUCAACAAUUUGAUCUAAACCCAAUUCUUCAAAAUCUCAAGCUCUAAUGUACAGUGUCCUUUGAAUAACAAAAAGACAAGUAUGCUACAAAAAUAAAAUAAGAAAUAAAUGGUGAAUAAUAAAGAUAAAAAAUAAAAUUAAAAUGUUAAAUAUCUAUAAAAGAAAAAGUAGAUCAAAUCUGAUGCGUAAAUUAGCAAGUGUACUAGUCAGCACAAGUAAUAUAAUGAAGAGUAUAAUAUCGUCCUACAGAGAUUGUAUAUCCUAUUAGGUACCGAAAUUAUUCUAACCCCUAAUUUAUUUAAACAAUCGAAUAGGCGGAUUUAAAUUAAAAAUUUAAACAAAACAAAAUAACUAAAAAUUAAAUAAAUAUGCAGGCAGUAAUAGAAAUAGCUAAGAGAUUAAGACACUAGGAUAUCUGAUUUCACAAUAACCAAUCCAAUUUAAUCCUCUAUAUAUGUUAUUAAAGGUUAUUACCCAUGUUGACAGUGAAUUUUCCUAAUCUAUUCAAUAUAUUUUCUCGAGUAAUAUAAAAAAUACCUUCACAUAUUAACCGACUAUAUCUCCAUGUGAAUUUAAAUAUGCAAAGAUUCAUUAAGGUUUAUGGAGAUUCUUAGAUAAAACUGCAUGAAUCAUGUUGGCACAUCUAUGUCUUUCGUUCAAUUCAUGGCAUCCAUUACGCAUAGUAAAGACACAUAAAUCUCCUUUCGGUCUCAUUAUGUAUCCUCAAAUCAAUCAAAUAUUGGUCCGAUAUUUAAAAGCAUUAAGCACAACAAUAAACACUCAACCAUGGAAUAAUAAAUAGAAAUAAUUAGAUUUAUGGAAUUAAAUCUUCAUAGUUAGGCUACAUUGUAACCCUAAUAAAAUAAAUUAGUUCAUGAAAAUAUAGAGAGAAUUCAUAAAUAUUAUAGGAAACACUCAACAAAAUAAUAGAGAAAAGAGAAAGAAAAACUCAAGAAUUAAUGUAAGCUCCUGCUCUGAUCUGUUGCGGUUGUUAAUGCUUCUUUUAAUUCGGUCCUGUGUUCUUCUCUCUUGGCUUCCGGUUGUCUGUUCUCCUCUAUUGUGGCUUCCACUCAUGCCUUUUAUAAUGCUUCAAUUGUGGCCUUUAAA
rnacentral:lncRNA from 1 species